CCAUGACCCACAGGGCUCUCUUGGUCUGAGACACCACUUCAGACAGAGAGCUUUUGUUCCCCUCUUGCCCAGUUGUCACUCUGCACGCAAGAGUAACAGGAGAUGUGCUGCCUGACCCAUGAGCUGGGAUAAAUGGGGCUGGUUCUGUUUGGUUCCGCAGGGCUUGGCCAGCCAAUAUUGGGAGGUACAGCUCUCCUGAGAAAAGGUUCACAUGGGCAGCUGCUGCUUUCUGACCCCUCUGCAGGGAUUUCUGAGGGUGAUGAGCAUCCUAGCAGGAGCAGAGUGAAAAAGUCACCCUCCUACCAAGCAAUGGGAGCACAUUCAUGGAGUCGAGGCACGUACCAUAAAGUUAUCCACUGACUCAAUGCACAUGUCCUUGGACUGCUCUGGUCGGUGAUUCUGUGGUGAAACAUCAUCUUUAGAAAACCAUCCACAAAGCCUUCAUGUGAUGGCACCUGUAAUACAGAAUUCACAAGUCUGUUGAGAUGAUGAAGACCCUUUCCUCUCCUGCCACAUCCUGGGCAGAAGUCAGACAGAAUACCGUUACUCUGCACAUGCUUUGGGAAAGCUGCCCGCCUGCUUCAUACUGGUGCAGGUGGUUUACAUGGUGCAGUGAAGGGGCUGGAAUGAACACCAAUAACACUCCUCUUCCUCCCUAUAUUCUCCCAUAAUUAUAAGGAAACCACUUUAAAACCACUAAAAUAUAAACCAGUCUCAGCCUAGAAGUGUUCAUGCUGGGAAGGACAAAAGAAGAAUUUUUAUGACACCAGGGCUGGUGCAUAAACUACCAUUAAAAAAAAAAAAAAAGAAAGAAAGAAAGAAAGAAAAAAAAACCACCUAUGCAAAGCUUAAGAAAUCACUUAAACCCAGCACUAAGAGGGAGAUGGGGAGAUGGUGUUGUCCUAAAGGUGAGGAAACAGAAAAGUGCUUGCAGCCAGUAGCAGAGUGGCCUUCAGCUCCUGAGUUUGGGGCUCCCAGAGCUGAGCUCUGACUUCUGAGUCCUUCCCCACUGGGAGCUCGUUCAGAAAGCCAAGCCCGCGAUCUCCCUUUAAAGCCACUCUCCUGCUCCGUGAGCCUCACCCACUGUCCCGCCUCUGCUCUUCUGCCACGCCAGCGUCCGACCUCAGCUCUGGAGUUACCAGAGUUACCAGCAGGAGUGGAAGAGAGCUGGGAUGGGGCUGGAUGUCGUGCGUCAAAAAGACAGGGAACAGCAGGGGGAGGUAUCAGGCCAGGAAAUCAAGGAUAUGAGGCUAACCAGGAGAAGAUCCUGCCUUGUGCUGAUAGACAAGAGAAUCACUAAGGCCGCUUUGGUUUGCAUGUCUCUACUAUGGGACACAGUGGGCCCAAGGAAAAGGGUUUACAGGUGGCAGGCAGAGACAACUCUUUGUUCCCUGCUCAACUGCACAGCUGUGCACAUCUGUGAGCUCUCGGAAAGACAGAGGCACUGGAGGGACGGGGAAAUGUUUUGCCCUGUGAGUGUAAUUCUAAAUGCUGCUGACCUCUCAUGUCUAAGGGAGAAAGGCAGAGAUGCCACGUGCAUCUCGGGAAGAGGAUGUGCUCUCACCCUCCCAAGACAUGGGUGCUCUCAACAGCCAGAGGUUCCAAAGAACACAUCUGGAAUCACUUUCAGCAGCAUCUGGAAGCUGUCAUGAGCUGCAAUGAGACACAGUUGUUUAAUUAUUCCACCUCCUUUGCCACUGUUAAGUUGUCAGUGGCUAUUCAACCUCCUUGGCAUAGAUCCCAGCACACCAGCCCUGGGGGCUCCUUGUCACAUGGAACACUUGUGAUGGCACAGGAGCAUCACCUGCACCUUCAGCCCUGCCCUGAUGGUGUACAGCAUAAGGAAACAACCAUGGCAAGUUCACUGUUACAGCAAGAGGAAUGAAAUGAAAAGGAAAAACUCUUACAUACUGAAAGAGCCCAGAACAACACUCUAAGAGAAUCAUAGAAUAUGAGCUAGAAAGUACCUACAAGGAUAAUCCUACCCAACUCUUAGCCCUGCACAGGAGAUCCCUAAGAAUCAGAGAAUUAAUCUGAGAGGACAGAAAGGUUCAGUCAUAAUUUAUCUCACCACCAGACACAAAUGAAGAUUUCAUUCUCAGCAUCAAUCCCUUCUUUCAUGAGAAAUUCAUCAAGAAAUCAAUUUCCAGCAGCUGUAUGGCUAACAUUGUCUUGUGAGAAAUGCUGGAAGAGGAAAGGAGUAUGAAGGUACUCAGGACAGACUUCUAUUUCAUCAUCAUACUCUCAGUAUCUCGUGCUCUCUUACCAAUAAAGAAUAGAUGGAUUUUUCAUGGAAGAUGUUCCUUUUUGUUUCCCUGUCUCUUUACCAACACCUUUGCCGCUGGCAGUGAAGGAGUUAAGCAGACUGUACUGUGCAUUUUACUCAUAGCACAAAGGGAGAGGGCUAAGAAGUCUUGCUGAUUAUCCCAGUGCUGAACUUUAAAAGCUUUUAAAGCUGAACUUCCUCUCUAAUCGUUUGCACCUUCCCUUUUCGCCUCCAGCAAUGCCUCUGAGGUUACUGUCUUGACCCAGGGUGGAUGGGAUUAGAGCUGGAGGGAGGCUGAUGCCUACCCUCAGUUCACUGUUUCAGAGUGUGAUGGUGCUCCCUGUGCUAACAGGAAGCAGAGAAACGUGAGAAAAAAUAGAAUAGAAAUAAUAGAAACCAAACAAGAAUGUUGAGAAGUUCUGGGGCAAAGAGGAAACAUGAAAAUAUGUGGGACACAAAAGGAUAGAGUGCACUCACACAACAGUGGCUCCGGGGGCAUGAACGAGACGUAUGGAAAAUGCAAAGGAAUGACAGAGAAAUCACUAAACCAGAACCAAAUUCCAAAGGAUACAUCUAAGAGUUCAGCUCAUGCUGCAAUAAACAGCCAGAUGGCUGCGUAUCCCAGAGAGACACUGCUGGGAAAGGAAAUGGAGAGGGAAGGAGAGGGCGAGCAGGGUCAACUACACAUGACUCUUCCAUUCCCAGUGAAAGAGGAAAAGGAAAUGUAGAUUAAGAGGUGUCUUCAAGGCCCCAGCACUGGCUGAGCCAGCACAGGAGGCAGAAGAAGCCAAAGAAUGUCUUUGAACGUCUUGUGCUCACAUAUUUUUCUUGCCCUCUUCCUUCUCAUUCUCCCCCACCAUUCCAGCUCCCUCUUCCCUACACACCAGCGACUCCUCCAUUCCUGACAGUCCCUCUGCAAAUUUUCAGAGGUCCAGAGCUAGGGCCAGUUUCUGGCACCCUAAGCUGUGUGUCAGGGGCUCAUGCCCUGCCUUCAUUUGGAGCUCUUAACUAGAAUCUGUCUCAGGUCACCCAGGGAAAGCAGUGAGACAAGGCUUUAUUCUUACAAAAAGUGCUCUCUGCCAUCCCCAAAGAUCCACAGGAUCUCCCAGACUCAUUUUUGCCAUAAAAACAGGAAAAAACAGCUCCUCUAUUAAUACAGCAAUGCAGGCUUGAGUUCCCACACCAGGACAGUUAAGGAAAAUAAUGUGAAUUUCAGAUUGUAUCAAUUAGCUCAAAAGCAGGACAUCUUGUAGUUGUCUGUGUGACCACUGUGUGAUCUUGCAUUAGUCAUCCACUCAGCCUGUGUCUCAGUUUCCUCAUUUCUGAAACAGAGAAGAAUACUGACCUUGCUUUGUACAGGACCUCAAGAUUUUGUAUUGAAAACAGGAAAACAGUUUAAAGAAACGUUAUUGGAAGAAUCAGGUGCUACUAGUGUCUUCUCUAAACAAGAUUUUAAAAGCUUUGGUGUUUCAAACAGUUGUGAAGCUGGAAGUGCCAAACCCUAAUUCAUGUGGAAUAAAUCCAGAAAGCUGAAUGUCCCACAUACAAAUACAGAUUCCAAGCACUCCUGGGAAUCUGUUCAGGAUGUGCAGCCUUAGAUCUCCUCUCUGCUCCACCACUGAGCUGCCAGACUGCUCUAAGCCCAGGCCAAGGGGACUGGAGCAGCUCAUGGAAUGGAAAACAGUAGAAGCAGUAUGUUAUUAUCACUGGGAAUGCCAGUGGGACUCCUGGAGAAAACAGUACCAGAAACCAUUCCUCAAGACCUAUUCCCAUUCCAGCUGUAAAGGGCUGACAGUUUGUUCUGCCCAGGAAUACUAAAAUGUGAGAGAUGUGACCUGUGAGCAAAGGCUCUCAAGUGGAGUGAGACACAAAAACCAGGUUACAGGUUGCACUCCAUCCACCACUCUGGAAGGUUAAUACAUCAGGCUGAUUUAUCCAAGCUUUAAAAAGGAGAUUUUAUCCAAGCAGAACUGAAGACCACACACACUUUUAUGGCUUUUUGGGUAUUCUGCAGCAGCUGUGGUCAGGAAGUUCUGCGUCCAGGACUCCUGAACAUAUUCAUUGGGCACUGCAGAACAAACGCCCCUGGUCAGUGGACUCAUCUCUGGGAUGGAGACAAGUACUGAACUUCCAGGCCGAAGCGCCUGGCCCAGCUGUCAUUCCAGGAAGCUCAGAGGGAGAGCAAUCACAUAAAAGCACUGCAGCUGCAGACUUGACCUAAGGCCAGUUUCUCUCCAGCAUAAGUUUAACCAAUCAGCCAAGGAACCUUUUAGCAAAAUUCCCUGCUUAUUUCUCAUACUUCCUCUGUCCUACCCAUUGCCCAAAGCCAUCCUCAAUUCUCCUUUCCUUCCAGUGUUUUUUUCCCCCAGCUUGUACCUUCUGGCCCCAGAAGCUCUCUGACUCUCUGUGAUGUUUCCUCCCCUCCUCUGGGAAUCUUGACCAGGGCCCAAGGGACAAAGGAGCCUCUGUUGGCUGCACCCAAGUCUGGAACACUCAAUCUGCUGGUUCCAGCUUGAUUCCGGCAGAAGUCUUCUCCAGGAGAACUUUACUCACCCUGGAAUUGCAGUGCCCUGUAGGGACAGAAAGCUGGAACAUGUCAUCUCUUCUGCUGCAUUUGCCACAUCUCUUGUGAGAUCAUUGCUAAGCAAUUCAGUAGGUUUUUGCUAUAAAUUUUGUGAAGGCAAGCACUGAGUUUUGAGCUGUUCUAAAGGCUUCAGCUUUAUAGCUCUGUGUUAACUUUUGUGAGGCCCAAAGCCAGGUACAGGGAGCCUGUGAGGGCUGAGAGUAGGUGAUACUCUCUUCAAAAGACUCUUGCAUUUCAUUGUAAGAUUAUUAAAUUCCUACAGUAUCAUUUAUCUACUUCAACAAAUCACCACCCAGUAUUUGGGUUAACAAAUGUAGUUUUCUAUAAAAAAUAAUAAAAUAUGUAAAUAACAAUUGAUAUGGUGCUAGAUUAAUUAGUUUUGUUAAAGAAUGUGCCCUAAAACAUCAGCAGCCUUCCAGAGCUUUUCUGUCAUUGUGCAAAGGUCACAUAAAAUGGGCAAGCUGCCACAAAUAUUUACACUUGUGAAAUAAGUUUUGUGAAAGAUGAGAUGAAUAGUUGAGCUGAAAUGAGUGCCCUGCCCAUGAAAACUACCCUGAGGCAGCAAAACUUGCGGUGAAAAAUUACUCAGCAACUCAUUUGCAAGAGGAGAUUUCCCUUCUAUCAGUUGAUAUCUGGGAUACCCAAGCAGUAGAAGAUUUAAAUACUUCUUCUAAUAAUAACUGAGUAUAUUUAUAGAUAUUUGUAGAUAUUUUCAUCCUCUGGGUAAAUAUGCAACACUAAUUCCUGUUUAGCACCAGUUUCUUAUAGCAGCAACUGCUGCUGAUUGUAAUUAUACAGCUGUCAGAAGUCAGGAUCAACUUGGGCUUCCCCCAGCUCUGAGCUGAGUGUAGGAAAAUAAAAUCUUGCUCUUAGUUGUAAGUCUAUAAAGACAGGAAUUCUCAGUUGGUGCAUUUGAUGUAAGUAACCACCCUGAGCUUUUGGAAAGCUCACAGCCAAAUAAAGGAACUUGGUUCAGU